rnacentral:rRNA from 1 species
UACGUAGGGGGCAAGCGUUGUCCGGAAUUACUGGGCGUAAAGCGCGUGUAGGCGGAGGCGUGUGUCGGACGUGAAAGGCCCCGGCUUAACCGGGGACGGCCGUUCGAAACUGCGCCUCUUGAGGGAGGAAGAGGAGAGUGGAAUUCCUGGUGUAGCGGUGAAAUGCGUAGAGAUCAGGAGGAACACCCGUGGCGAAGGCGGCUCUCUGGUCCUCUCCUGACGCUGAGACGCGAAAGCGUGGGGAGCGAACGGG